UUGGACCUGAUAUCAAGG
rnacentral:rRNA from 1 species